rnacentral:rRNA from 1 species
CGGGGGGAGCAAGCGUUGUUCGGAUUUACUGGGCGUAAAGGGCGCGUAGGCGGCCUCUGCAAGUCGACUGUGAAAUCUCCGGGCUUAACCCGGAAAGGUCAGCCGAUACUGCAGGGCUAGAGUGCAGAAGGGGCAACUGGAAUUCUCGGUGUAGCGGUGAAAUGCGUAGAUAUCGAGAGGAACACCUGCGGCGAAGGCGGGUUGCUGGGCUGACACUGACGCUGAAGUGCGAAAGCUAGGGGAGCGAACGGGAUUAGAUACCCCGGUAGUCCUAGCCUUAAACGAUGAAUGCUUGGUGUCUGGGGUUUUAUAGUCCCCGGGUGCCGUCGCUAACGCUUUAAGCAUUCCGCCUGGGGAGUACGGUCGCAAGGUU